rnacentral:rRNA from 1 species
GCCUUUUGUAUAUUGAAAUAAAAGGUCGUGCCUGCCCACUGACUAUUGAGUUAGUUAAAUGGCCGCAGAUUUCUGUGCUAAGGUAGCGCGAUAAGUAGCCCUUUAAUUGGGGGAUGGUAUGAACGGCUUGACAUGGAGGUGCUGUCUUUAAUAUAGUUAAAAAGAAAUUUCUUUUCAAGUGAAAAAGCUUGGGUUUUUGUAAAAGACGAGAAGACCCUAUCGAACUUAAUUAGGGUUAAAAUAAAAAAUAAACGACUUUUAUUUUUAUUUUAAUUUAAACUUUUGUUGGGGCAGUAGAGGGCUAAAAAAAGUGUCCUUUUGUUAAAUAAAGAUCCUUUUUGAUGGACAAAAGCAAAAGUUACCGUAGGGAUAACAGCGUAAUAUCUUUUUGAGAGAUCUUAUUGAAGAAAGGGUGUGCGACCUCGAUGUUGAAUUAAGGAAACUUUAUGGUUGCAGAAGCUUUAAAAGUGAGACUGUUCGUCUUUUAAUUCCUU